rnacentral:rRNA from 1 species
AUGCUUCUCCUAAAGACUAAGCCAUGCAUGCCUCCGAAUAGAAGAGCAAAUCUCUCUGAAUCUGCGAACGGCUCCGCAAACCAGUUGUAAACCAUAGCAAGCAUGCUCCAGGAAAGCCGCAAGGCAGCCCUGGGGCUACAAGGAUAACCCCGGUAAUUCUGAGGCUAAUACAUGAACGUAACCCCUGGUCGAUGGGCAACCUGAGGCCGGGGACCGUGCGAGACCUCGCAAAAAUUUAUCGGAAAAGUCGCAUCGUAAGACCGCCAUACCAAACAGUCCUUUUCUGUCGCCCUCACGGGAGGCCGGAUCGUUCUGGGCGGCUCUUGCAAGGUGCUUCUGACCUAUCAACUAGAUGGCAGCGUAAGGGACAUGCUAUGGUGACAACGGGUACAGAGGAUAAGGGUUCGAUCCUGGAGAGUGGGCCUGAGAGAUUGCUCACACUUCUAAGGAAGGCAGCAGGCGCGCAACGUUCCCCUUGGGCAAUGCCCGAGGGCGUUAGGGGACAUAUGAAUGCCUGCCAUUUGGUGGGCAAUUCAAAUGGGUCUGUUCUAAACAGCCUC